AUCAACUUUCGAUGGUAGGAUAGAGGCCUACCAUGGUGGUAACGGGUAACGGGGUGUUAGGGCACGACACCGGAGAGGGAGCCUGAGAAACGGCUACCACAUCCAAGGAUGGCAGCAGGCGCGCAAAUUACCCAAUCCCGACACGGGGAGGUAGUGACAAUAAAUAACAAUACGGGGUUCUUUCGGAUUUCGUAAUUGGAAUGAGUACAAUUUAAAUCUCUUAACGAGGAACAAUUGGAGGGCAAGUCUGGUGCCAGCAGCCCCGGUAAUUCCAGCUCCAAUAGCGUAUAUAAAGUUGUUGCAGUUAAAAAGCUCGUAGUUGAAUUUCGGGAUCAAUAUGUUGGUCGUGCCUUGGUACGUACUAGUUUAUUGGUUUCUCCCUUCUGACGAACCAUGAUGUCAUUAAUUUGGUGUCAUGUGGAACCAGAACUGUUACUUUGAAAAAAUUAGAGUGUUUAAAGCAGGCUCACGCUUGAAUACAUUAGCAUGGAAUAAUGAAAUAGGACGUUUGAUUCUAUUUUGUUGGUUUCUAGGAUUGACGUAAUGAUUAAUAGGGAUAGUUGGGGGCAUUAGUAUUCAAUUGUCAGAGGUGAAAUUCUUGGAUUUAUUGAAGACUAACUACUGCGAAAGCAUUUGCCAAGGAUGUUUUCAUUAAUCAAGAACGAAAGUUAGGGGAUCGAAGACGAUCAGAUACCGUCGUAGUCUUAACCAUAAACUAUGCCGACUAGGGAUCGGAUGAUGUUAAUUUAAUGACUCAUUCGGCGCCUUACGGGAAACCAAAGUGUUUGGGUUC
rnacentral:rRNA from 1 species